CUGAGCAGAGGAGACCAAUAAAAACAGUAUUAAUUUACAAAAUCACAGCAGAUACGGAGGACUGGGAAAACGAGGGCCUCUUGGAGAUUUUAGAACACCUUGAAAGAUUGCAGAACUCAGAGGUCCCUGUGGCAUCCCAGCAAACAAAACAGACCAUGAAACAUCAAGAAAUCACAUAAUUAGUUCAUGUUUGUAUAGGGCGUUGAGCAGGCAAAUUGCCAGCACCCAGCGAGUGCUGGGCGAUGUACAAUGCAGAGAAGCAAGCUCUGUGCUGAAUGAGAUUGUUGCCUGCACAGAAAGAUGACACACUGGGAGACUUGGAGGAAUAUAAGAACUGCAGUGACAGAGCAGACCAGUCCUCCGUCUAGUUCAGCAUCCUUUUUUGGACAGUGACCAGCACCAGAUGGAAGGGUCCAACCUAUCCCCAAGGAAAUUUCCUCCUCAUCCCCAGUCAUUAGAAAUUGGUUUAAACCCUGAAGCAUGAGGGUUUAGAUCCCUUCCAAAACUCUUAGUCUUUGUUCAUUUUGUAUUUACUAUUCUAAUUCUGGAUGUUCUUAUUCAUAUAAACACCCUGUUCCUUCUUGA